GUGGAUUAGAUACCCGGGUAGUCCACGCCGUAAACGAUGAUCACUCGCUGUUGGCGAUACACAGUCAGCGGCUAAGCAAAAGCAUUAAGUGAUCCACCUGGGGAGUACGGCCGCAAGGCUGAAACUCAAAGGAAUUGACGGGGGCCCGCACAAGCGGAGGAACAUGUGGUUUAAUUCGAUGAUACGCGAGGAACCUUACCUGGGCUUAAAUGUAGAGUGCAUGAGGUAGAAAUACUUCUUUCCUUCGGGACUCUUUGCAAGGUGCUGCACGGCCGUCGACAACU
rnacentral:rRNA from 1 species